rnacentral:lncRNA from 1 species
CGAGAGAAGCUCGGUGAACCAGGGUUGUUCCCCUCUGUCCCCUUUUGUGUAAACUGAGAGGACAAGAAAUCAUUUUUUUUUUUGGUGAGCGGACUGACAGAGGGAAGGGCCCUGUUCUUGUUGUUGAUGGUAACCGAGGGAAAGGAAAACUGUUGAUGGAUCGGGGCUUUGGCAAUAGAAGCAAAACUGAUUGCUCUGAUACCAAGUUGAUGCCGAACCAGAACCAGGAAGAAUGAUUGCAGUGGUAGAAAGUAAGAGAAGAGAAGGAAGAAGAAGAAGAGAAGAAGGAGAAGGAAGGAGGAAGAGAAGAGAGAAAAACGUGGGGGAAAAAAAAUGCUUAAUUCUUCAUUGAACUUUCAUUAUGAAAAUAAUUCGCUAUAUAUAGGGCCCAAAUACA